rnacentral:rRNA from 1 species
AUGGCCAACACUACAAUGGGAAGUACCACUCGAUCAUGCGAUGCGUACCUGCUGUUCAAUGGCGAAACACUGCUUCCAAAUGGUGUUCGUGCUUUCCUUUGUACUGUUGCCCUAGCGUACUGUUUUAUUGGUUUAUCCGCGAUCACUGCCCGGUUCUUCAAGUCGAUGGAGAGCAUCACAAACCACUCUCGGGAGGUAGUUACAAUUGAUACAGAAACAAAUACGCCUAUCGUGAAGCAUGAGAAGGUUUGGAACUACACUAUAGCGGACAUUGCUCUGCUUGCUUUUGGUACCAGCUUUCCCCAGAUCUCCCUCGCAACAAUCGAUGCAAUCCGUAAUCUCGGUCAACUGACAGCAGGAGGUUUAGGUCCAGGUACACUUGUGGGUUCUGCUGCGUUUGAUCUGUUCCCGAUCCAUGCUGUCUGUGUGGUUAUGCCAAGGGCAGGCUCUAUGAAAAAGAUUUCCGAUUUAGGUGUUUGGUUAGUUGAGCUGUUUUGGUCAUUCUGGGCAUACAUCUGGCUGUAUAUUAUUUUAGAGGUGUGGACACCUAAUGUGAUCACCCUCUGGGAGGCCCUGCUAACAGUUUUGCAGUAUGGAUUACUUCUGGUUCAUGCGUAUGCGCAGGAUAAGCGGUGGCCAUAUGUGUCAAUCCCUUUGGUCAGAGGUGAGAGACCUGAAGAUUGGGUUCCAGCAGAAGAUACUUCACUUCACCAUGACAAAAAUUGUGAUGAAAAUAGUGACAUACUACCCAGCGAGAAUGAUGAUGUUGUGGAUGUAUUCUCCUUUCGUUCUUACAGCAAUGCAGGGUAUCAUCAUGUUCCGGAAAAGGAUAUAGAAGAGUCGUCCAAAACAAUGCUUGUAGUAAAGAACACACAAGAGGAUACUUACUGGCUUUCCGUUUGGCGGCAACAAUUUGUGGAUGCUGUAAUGCUGGAGAGUCCCGAGCUAAAGAAAAUGGAUUCUGUCUGCCUGAGAUUUAUCUUAAUAUGUUGGAACUCAAUCAUCGCACCUUGGAAAUUGUUGUUUGCUCUUGUGCCCCCGUAUCAAAUCGCACAUGGAUGGAUUGCUUUUAUUUUCUCUCUGAUCUUCAUAAGUGGUAUUGCCUAUGGGGUCACCAAGAUUACAGACCAGAUAAGCUGUGUCACAGGACUAAACCCAUAUGUUAUAGCAUUCACAGCGCUGGCUGCUGGAACCUCAUGGCCGGAUCUAGUCGCUAGCAAGAUUGCUGCCGAGCGUCAAGUUACUGCAGACUCUGCAAUUGCCAACAUCACUUGCAGCAAUUCAGUGAACAUAUACGUUGGCAUUGGUGUUCCGUGGUCGAUCAACACAGUGUACAAUUUCUUUGCCUACCAGGAACCACUGUACAUAGACAAUGCUGCUGGUCUCAGCUUCUCACUUCUGGUCUUCUUCGCAACAUCUUUUGGUUGUAUCACAGUUUUGGUUCUCCGCCGCAUAGUAUUUGGUGCUGAGCUUGGGGGCCCUAGGCUGUGGGCUUGGGCAACAUCGGCUUAUUUCAUGGUCCUUUGGGUUGUUUUUGUUCUACUUUCUUCUUUAAGAGUUUCUGGGGUAAUAUAG